UUUCAAGAUUCUAAGAGCAAACGGUGGAUGCCUUGGCAUCUGGAGCCGAAGAAGGACGUAUAAAUCUGCGAUAAGCCUCGGGGAGCUGAUAAUAGAGCUUUGAUCCGAGGAUCUCCGAAUGGGGAAACCCCGCCAGGCCCUUUGGGUGACCUGGUGACUCCCGCCUGAAUAUAUAGGGCGGGUAGAGGGAACGUGGGGAAGUGAAACAUCUCAGUACCCACAGGAAGAGAAAGCAAAAGCGAUUCCGUUAGUAGUGGCGAGCGAAACCGGAAGAGGCCAAACCGAUCAUGUGUGAUAUCCGGUAGGAGUUGCAUGGUCGGGGUUGCGGGACUUUCCGUACAGUUCUACCGAGCUGUGAGGGCAAUGAGCGCGAUAUAGACGAAUGGUCUUGAAAGGCCAGUCAUAGAGGGUGCGAACCCCGUAGUCGAAAUGUCGUCGCCUGUCCGGAGAGUAUCCCAAGUAGCACGGGGCCCGAGAAAUCCCGUGUGAAUCUGUCAGGACCACCUGAUAAGCCUAAAUACUCCCAGAUGACCGAUAGCGGACAAGUACCGUGAGGGAAAGGUGAAAAGUACCCCGGGAGGGGAGUGAAAUAGUACCUGAAACCGUUUGCUUACAAACCGUUGGAGCACCCUUGUUGGUGUGACAGCGUGCCUUUUGAAGAAUGAGCCUGCGAGUUAGUGAUAUGUGGCGAGGUUAACCCGUGAGGGGCAGCCGUAGCGAAAGCGAGUCUUAAUAGGGCGUAUGAGUCGCAUGUUCUAGACCCGAAGCGAAGUGAUCUAUCCAUGGCCAGGUUGAAGCGACGGUAAGACGUCGUGGAGGACCGAACCCACUUCAGUUGAAAAUGGAGGGGAUGAGCUGUGGAUAGGGGUGAAAGGCCAAUCAAACUUCGUGAUAGCUGGUUCUCUCCGAAAUGCAUUUAGGUGCAGCGUUGCGUGUUUCUUGCCGGAGGUAGAGCUACUGGAUGGACGAUGGGCCCCAAAAGGUUACUGACUUCAGCCAAACUCCGAAUGCCGGUAAGUGAGAGCGCAGCAGUGAGACGGUGGGGGAUAAGCUUCAUCGUCGAGAGGGAAACAACCCAGACCACCAUCUAAGGUCCCUAAGCGCGUGCUAAGUGGGAAAGGAUGUGGAGUUGCAUAGACAACCAGGAGGUUGGCUUAGAAGCAGCCACCCUUGAAAGAGUGCGUAAUAGCUCACUGGUCAAGUGAUUCCGCGCCGACAAUGUAACGGGGCUCAAGCACGCCACCGAAGUUGUGGCAUUUAUAUUAUAGGCAGGCCUUCGUGGUCCAGCCGUAUGGAUGGGUAGGAGAGCGUCGUGUGGCCAGCGAAGCGGCGGUGUGAACCAGCCGUGGAGGCCACACGAGUGAGAAUGCAGGCAUGAGUAGCGAAAGACGGGUGAGAAACCCGUCCUCCGAAAGACCAAGGGUUCCAGGGCCAGGCUAAUCCGCCCUGGGUAAGUCGGGACCUAAGGCGAGGCCGACAGGCGUAGUCGAUGGACAACGGGUUGAUAUUCCCGUACCGAUGAAGAACCGCCCAAGACAAUC
rnacentral:rRNA from 1 species